rnacentral:lncRNA from 1 species
AAGUCACAUAAUCAUUUACACACGUUGAAUAAUUUUUGUUGCACAGGCCUCUCAGAAAGUGAUGUUGAAAUUAUUGAUAAUCUACUAGUGUGGGUAAUAGUCUCACAUUGAUUAAAAAUGUGGAGAACAUUUAUAAGUGCGAGAAUUCACUCACCUAUCACCUUAAAAUUUUAGGUGAAUAUGUGGUGUGUCUUUCACAAAAAUGUUAAUUUAAAAAAAGAAAAUUUCACAAUGUUUAAUGCUCCAUAAUAAAAAACU